GGCUAACUGAGAAUAUAAGAUGAAUAAGGAAAUGCACAUCUUCGUAUUUUUAGAACUUAAAUGAAGUUGGAGAAUAACCUGCAAGUUGUAAGAAGCCCUGGAGAAUGACUAAUGUUAUCAGCUGAAAGAAAUCAAGAUCCAGAGAGGGAGCCUGUUCUUCCUAAGUGCUGUUCAAGUCACCAGCACCUCAGAAAACCAUCGAACAUCGGAGAAUGGCCACUGCACACAUUAAUGUGUCCACUGCUGCCCUUUGACCAUUUUUGUACCUAUUCAUGCUGUUUCAGGUUCAAUGUUGUCAUCUCACACUGGACUCCUGUUCUCCAACAAGUGACUGUGUAAACGGGGAGGAGAGAAAUCGCAAGGUUUCUAACGUAACUACGUGGGGCUUUUAUUGUGUUUUCUCUUCCAGUUUAGAGAUAGUCAAUGGAUAAAAAGUAAAUAUUCCCGAGGGCUCUUUUUCUGAACUGCAGUGGCAUUAUUAGUAAUGCCUACUUCAUUGGUGUGUAAGAUUUGAAAAUGUUCCAUAAAGCAUCAAGCACAAUGCAAACAUUC